rnacentral:lncRNA from 1 species
CCUCUACUCACUAAAGAUGGACCCUCAACUAGAAAAAUUACAAGGAGGGAGAGUGAUGAAACCUUGAAGACAAGCUUCACUCUUUAUGCUUUUGAAAGUGACAACUAACUUAAAAAAACCACCAAGUAAUGCAUAUACUAACAUUAAACUAUUCAACUAUUAGUUAAGGUUAGAAUUAACAAUAUGCAUAAGACUCAAUUAAUGAAUAAAU